UAGUCUCAAAUACAAGGGAAGACUUGCAGGCUUCGUAGACUUCGUAGUCUCAUAGAACUCGGAACCUCUUAGUAGCGCGUUAUUUCCACUCUCUUCGAUCAAACACCAGAAUCCGAAGCGACAAAAGAUCCAUGGCUCCUUCUGCAAAGCCAAUAACGAGUCCAGUGUCUGAUGCGUGGUAUCCAACCCUAGCCGUCUUCAUGCUCGCCAUUGGUCUUGUCCUCACCGCUUCCUUGUUCAUGUAA